rnacentral:lncRNA from 1 species
GCCCGCGCCCUCCGCGUCCGCGCGGGGCCCGGAUGUGGGUGCCCGGAGGGGUCGCGGCGCGCUGGGAUACCUCGCGGUCGGGAGGUGGGCUGCGGCCCGCUGUGCCCUGCUCUGCCCUGCCCUGCCCUGCCCUGCCCUGCCUUGCCCACGCGGGGCGUCGUACUGGAUGCGACGGGCCGGGGGCACCGGGGGACGGCUGGCGGGGAGGGCUGAGCAGUGCGGCCGCGGCACGUGGUGCUUCGCAGCCGAAGAACGUGAAUGGGCUGAGAAGUGCCUGGGAGGCGUCACCCGCAGAGCACCCCCAGUGCUGCCCCGCCGGCCGUUGCCCAUCCCAGCUCCAGCAGCAGCCUUGUGCUGGGUGGUUGCUGUGGACAAUGCAGUUUGGAGAACUGUCCUGGCAUCGUCAUUUUGUUGCGCUGCUGACACCUGGAUGGGAGCGAGCGCACACCCUCAUCUUCCUGCCUGGUUUCCUCCCAUCACAAGUUCUGCUCUUGGGUGGCCCCAAGGCAUUCCCACACUGGUCUGUGACAUCCUCCUCUGGAUUCUCUCCAAGCAGCCCAAAGGGCAGUGUCCAGGCGUCGCUGCCUCCCCCACUGCUCCCUGUGCCUCCAGACCCUGCCAGCGCCCGCCAGCGUCCCCUGCUCCACAUGAUUCCGCAGCGCUGCUGUUCCUUUCCCCCCACAUUCAUCUCUUCCUUCUUUCUCCCCAUUUCUUGUUUAUGCAAUUGCUUCUUUGUGCUGAAGUGCCGAUGGCAUUUAUCUAUACCGCACGGCAUCCUCUUCCCUGGGACCAUUUCUCUAAUUUGUCAGCAGCAGAGGUGUGGAGGAACAGUUUGUGAUGAGGAGCCGGCCUUCCGAUAUGCUUCCCAUCCUCCCUGUCUUCAUAUUUUGUCUGCAGGUUUAAAAAGCCAGUCCUGCUUCCCUUUAUCUCACCUGCUGGUAGCCGCAGCCUGGCAGCGCUUAUCUGAGCUGGGAACGGCGCUCGUUUUAUAGCAGGUUUAGGCAGAAUGUGAUCUGUAACUUGCUUAGGAUCCUGUUUUAUGAAAUGAUGUCAAAAGCCUUACAAGUAUCAAGAUUUAUACUGCCAUUCCAGACUGUCACAGCGGCAGUUGCCAUUGGCGUGCCGUGGCCUGGCCCUUAGCAGCCAUGCCAGCACAUGGGAGCUGCGACCGGACACGAGGACAAGGUUUUUCCCAUGAGGGCUGUGUUCUGGAUGCUUUCACUUGCUGUCCCAUCUCACACUGGCAGCUUGACAGGGAAAUCCCCCAUCCCCACCACAUCCUGGCUUUGGCCAUGGCUCCGGCACAGCCCCCUCCACGUGCUCUGUAGCUGUUGUGGUCGCACAGCAGCCAGGUUCUCCCUGGAGUGCAGAACAAAUGUCUGCAUCCUUAAUAUACAAAGCAACACAUUCCUCCUUAAUCCCCUGCCUGUCUUUCCAGAACAAGCUUCAUCCUCCGAUAUUAAUAUUCCAGUCAUGUGGCUGAGCCCACCAAGCCUUUGUUAUGCCAAUUAAAUCAUAAUCUUGAUCAUGCAUUAAGACUUCCAGCUUCUUUUGUUUAUGCCUGCCAGCACACCGAUGUGGAAGCCACUCGGCAGCCUCACCCCUGUCCCCAGUGUCCCCAAGGGCUGUGUCCGAAAUGCCUCCUCCCAUACUGCAGGCGGCUCCUUCAGUGCUGGCACCAGCCAGGUCUUGCCUUGGCCCUGGGGAUGUGGGUGGCUGUGGCCGUGGCUUGGUGGCACAGCUCUUUGUUCUCUUGCCCCAUGCCCACAGUGAGGCCAAACUUUGGGGUUCUGAGGUGGGAGCCCCACAGCUGAUCCCGCCCCCGCAGCACCGGGUGGAUAGGGACACUUCUGGAGGGCACCCAGUGCAGCCUCCCACUCCCACGGGGCUGCCUGGAGUGGGCAGUUUGGGUCACAGCGGCCGGUGGCACUGAAGCAUUCUGUGUGAUGAAGUGGGAAGGUGGGAUUAGCGCUGCACAUGUUCCCUUGGUGCAAUUGAUGCUAAGCAGAGUGAGGCUGCCCUGAGUGCUGGGCUGGGAGAGUGAAGGUGAGGAGUCAGCAUCAGCUCUCGGAUGCCAUCUUCCUUCCUGAAGGGGCCCCAAGCGGUACUGAAGAUCCGAAGGUGGAUCGGGACAGGGGUGAUGCUGCUCUGUCCCUUAAUCUUGGACCUGGGAGGGGACCCAGGGAGGUAGGGGCGUCCUUGGCACCUGGGGGGACCUCUGUGCUGACCACAGAGCACCGAGCCCAGUGGCUGGCAUGGCCCCAUCCCACAGCAGCUCCCCGCUCUGUGUUAUCCCGUCCUGCGGGGCUGAGGCAUAACCACUCCGGAGCAGCUGAGUUACUUCUCAUUACCCAGAGGCAAGCAAUCUCUCAGCAGAACCCAGGGAAAUCAAUAGUGUGAAGGAAAAUUAGCUCAUUAAACAGCCAUAAACACAAAAGCGAGGAUCACUCACAUCCUACCACUGCAUCCAUACAGACGUCUGCUCGGCUUCCUGGACCUGGCGGGAAGGAAAGCUGCUGGCGGGCAGACCCGGGAAGCCGUGAGCCCUGUCCUCGCCCCACCGAGUGCAGGCUGUGUCCUGGGGGUCCUGGGGCAGCCCGGCAGCACGUGCACCGGCCCCAUCCCACCCAACGGGCAUCGUCCUCCACCAUGAGGAGUCCAGAGCUGCUCUCACCCUGCCCAACACCUCGCUUUGGCUGCACAAUGCUGCUGUGACAGGCCGGCACACCAAGCGACACACGGGGCCCUCCUGGGGCCGGGAGCUGCUUUCUCCCUGCGCAGAGGCUGGGAGAGCUGCCGGCAUCGCCAUCAUCACACAGCUCCGCCGCGUGCCUGCGCCAGCCCGGGGCUGUCCCUGCCUCCCCCAGAAGGGGCUGGGGGAGAAGAGCUGCCGGUUGUUUAGCCCGACGGCAAGGGCAGCGCGUGUCAGCGCAUUGCGGGCCCUUGCUGCUGCCGGGCUCUGCCACCAGCUGUGUAAAGCAGAACAAACCCAUGCUGCGACCUGCAUCAGCAGCAGCUGGCAGCAAACCCCUUUUGGGAUGUGUGGUGUGCAGGGGCCGGCAGUGGGGCUGGGCUCCAUCCUCGGGGGUUUCAGAUCCAAACUGGACAAAGUCUGAAUGCCCGGUGCCAUUGCUGACCCCAGAUGAGAGAUGCUGGGGUGCUCCAGCCCAGAUUGCCACCAUCCUCCCAACCAGAGCCUCCGAGACGGAGCAGGGCAGAGAAUCAUGAGGGAAUAUUUCGGGUCUUGUGUCUUACUGCAGCAAUCCUGUUACUGAGAGGAGAGUUUCCAGAUGUGAAAGCAAAACUUAUUUUCGUGUUCCUUUAUGCAAUAAAACAGCUUGCUCCUUUUGCA